GAUGAACGCUAGCGGCAGGCUUAGUACAUGCAAGUCGAGGGGUAGCAAGAUUGUAGCAAUACAAUUGUUGACGACCGGCAAACGGGUGCGGAACACGUACACAACCUUCCUACAAGUGGGGAAUAGCCCAGAGAAAUUUGGAUUAAUACCCCGUAACAUAGCGAUGUGGCAUCACAUUGCUAUUAUAGCUUCGGCGCUUGUUGAUGGGUGUGCGGCUGAUUAGAUAGUUGGCGGGGUAACGGCCCACCAAGUCUACGAUCAGUAGCUGAUGUGAGAGCAUGAUCAGCCACACGGGAACUGAGACACGGGCCCGACUCCUACGGGAGGCAGCAGUAAGGAAUAUUGGACAAUGGACGCAAGUCUGAUCCAGCCAUGCCGCGUGAAGGAUUAAGGUCCUCUGGAUUGUAAACUUCUUUUAUAAGGGACGAAAAAAGGUCUUUCUAGAUCGUCUGACGGUACCUUAUGAAUAAGCACCGGCUAACUCCGUGCCAGCAGCCGCAGUAACAC
rnacentral:rRNA from 1 species